UUUCUUCUCUCCUGCAGAAACACACGGCUUCUCUGAUUCUCUUUUCAUCGAUUCUUCUUCGUGUAUGACGUAGUUAUCAAUGUUAUAAUUUGUAUGCGUUUUAGUUGAACCGGAAAGACCUCAUUGAGAAGGAAUAAAAGAGGAAGUUGAAUCAGAUAGACGAUUGAGAGGAAUGGAAGAAUAAUGUAAACAUACAAAAAACUAUGACCAUCCUGUCAAUGCUUGAUAUGUAACCUGUGUUGAUGACUGACUAUGCUGCGGAGAUAAUUAAGAUGGGCUUAAAUAGUUCAAUGUGGAGUUCCAUGGUCCAAAAGAAAGUGAUCUUCUGCUUUCUCCUGUGAUGCUUCCUCUAUUUACAUUAAUGCAACUUCAAGGUUUCUGCAAUGGUUAACAAGGUUUUUGCAAUGGUUGAAUUCAAAGAUCAAAUGAAUUUUUAAAUGCUUCCAUUUUCAGACUUUGGUCAUUGCAGGUCUUUCUGAAGGGUGUGUAGAAAAUUUGUGUAGAGUUGCCAAGUGCGUAUCCACACAAGUCUCUUAUUGAUUCUUGAACAAAAAUUUCAUCCCAAUGUUGAUGAUUUGUGAGCAAACUCACUCAUGCAGCCAAUGUCCAAUGCUUAUGAAAAAAAAAGUCCAGUGCUUAUAUUGUUACCAAAGCUAAAGCCUUCAAGAUACUUUCAAGUUUGUACUGUUAAGCUCUGUUCUUUGUUUUGAUUAACAUUUAAUCAUGUUUUUCAUUCUCUUGAAGUAUUGCUUUGGGGAAUCCGUUGUUUAACGAUUGGACACGUACUUUCAGUCUUCCACCUAUUAUCUCAUCUAGGAAGCUCUUCCCUACUGAAGAUAGAAUUUUCGGACUCUUUCAUCUGAUUCAAUUGAGCCUGUGAUAUCGAAAAGCAUUUUGAGCCUUAUGUUAAGGUAUUGCACGUCAUAAUCCAAAGGAACUUUGCAUUUGUUCAGUUUGAGACACAAGUUGAAUUUACCAAAGAUCUUGAAUGCACUCACAUGAAUAAGAUGUGUGGCAGGGUGUCACUUAUGUUAUUGAUCUUUAUGCAUAACCUUAGCUGCGCCCUUCCCUUACUUUUUUGUUAUCAUCAAACAUCAGCAACAACCCUUCAUGUUAUUCCCAUUAUUACAUCCUCAUGAUCGAUAAUGAAUUUCUUUACCCUAUUACCUUUUAAUGUGAGUACCUUAACUAUCUUCCGUCCUCUUCGUUCUCUCUCACCAUCUUCCGUUCUUUCUCGACCUUUGAUCUAUUAUUCUUUCUCUGCAAAUAGUAUAUACUUAACCUUAUCUACCCUAACAUUGGAGACCUGUAGAAGCACAAGCUAAAAUUGAGGUGAUUAAAGAAGAUAGUUGAGGAUCUGAGGUUAAGGUACACAGCUUCAAUACUUUUGGUUAAAGUUUCCCUCGCUUAUUUUGUAUAAAUUAAAUUUUUGGGGUUAUGGUCGAAGAUAUUUGGGGUCUUUUCAAUUUAUAACUAAUAUAAUAAAACCAGACAUCAGGAUAACAUUUUAAGAGAUCCUUGGUGUUUAGAUCGAAUUAUGUGAUGAAGUUAUCUAAGGUGUCACUUCGUAUAAGUUUCUUCUGUAUAUACCAUCUCAAGAGAUCCUCCCAAAGUUGUGGCCUACUAAGUGAUCUCUUGAGAUGGUAUAUAUAGAAGGAAUCUCUCACUUGAUAACUUACUGUUAGGAAGCUAUGGAAUUGUCGAUUUCUUUAAAGAUUUUAGGUUUGGACAAGUUACUUCGCUAUGUUGUUAUUAUUUUGCAUAUUUCUAGAGAGAGCAGGAGAACUAAGGGUGUUUGAACACUUCUCCCAACUGUGAUUUAUCUGUGUUUUUAUGACAUGAAAUAAAAUUAAGAAAUUCAAGGGCCUUAAUUAAUUUACCAAUUUUUAAAUUAUUGAGACAAAUAAAGAGGAUGUGAAGUGGGUGAUGCCAUAUUGGUUAUAGACGAAAUCAUUGUUACAGGGAGCUUUGUAUGAUAAGUUCAUUCU